CCCAAAGAAGACGCUAACGUUCUAGGGAUGAAGAAAGAACUGAAUGAUCGGGAAGGAAGGAGGAAAAUCAUAAUAAGCCAGUCAUCAAAACAAAAGGCUAACAUUUUUUAAGACUGAUGGAUGGGGACAGAAAAGAAACGAGAGAAACAAGGAAAUGCGUGCUGUUGUGGGGAGGACACAGACCACAGUCGGCGCUGUGCAGGUGGGGCUGGGAGCCCAUCUCCUCCCUUGGUCCCAGCUCCGAAGCAUACAGACUCCCCUGUGGAAGCGAUACUCCACUGAGGUUUUCCCAUCAUCACAACACAAUGGCUGAAAACCACCCGAGAUGAAUCUGUGCUUGGCAAAUCGAGGGUAUGCUCCAGACGAAGCUUCUACCCUGGAGCAGAAGAGUAACAUAAGCACUGCUUCAGUUCAUCCUCACGUUGACCUUGAAGAGAGGACCUAUCAUUGCUCCCACUUAAGGUGUAAGGGAGCUGAAGUUUCUGGAAUGCCUCCCAGCUGUAAGUGGUGACCAACACACACUGGGUCCAGAGCCCCCAGGGCUCCCUGAGCUCAGUUACAGGUUUCCGGCAGGGAAGACCAGUCUUAUGGCUGCACUGCAGGCCAGAAACAGAGCAGCUCCCAGCUCAGGGGAGCAUCUGGGAAAUGCUGCCGAGUGCAUGCUGCCUCUGCGUAGGGGUCUACGCACUGCGGCGAGGCCUCCAGCGAAAGGCCCAGACACCUCUGAAGCAUCUUUGAUGUUAUAAUGGAAUUCAGUGGUGGUGAAGACUGAGGGAAAACCACUGCGUUGGAUGGUGGGUUAAGGAUUCUCUUCCUGACCAGCCAGACGCAGGCACCAGGCCAGAAGAAGCUCUCCUGUCUCCAGCUUGUGGACCACAGAUCUCGGGACUUCUCAGCCACCAUAAUCAUGAACACCACUGGUAUUUUGACAUAACCCUCAUUUUCGCCAAGUGCCCUGUUGCUGUGUUCACUCUCCAUCUGGGACAUUGUCCAUACUUGGUGAGCGCCUUCUGCGAUCAGGGGGACAGCAUGCUGCCCAACACCCGUGUGUGGCUGAGAGCCCCAGGUCAAGCUCCUCCGUCUGACCACGCUCUCGGUUCUCGCCUCUUUAUGGGAAUUUCUCACACCAGGACUCUGGAAACUCGGCCCGGGUUAUUUCACACCUCAGUAUUCGUUGCUCCCAACACCGCGCCUUUCCCCGAAACAGAACUGCAAUCUGAAAGGACUGAUUUCUGCCGUAUGCUCCGUGCUUCUCCUAUUUAGCACCGGCAAUUCAAAAGGUGUACUGAGUAUGAGUCGGACCAGUUCAUUAGCACGAGUCACUGUGCAGUAUGUACUCUUCAGGGAAGGAAGGGACCCGUCUGGAAGAAGCCCGCCAUCAGCAUUCAUUUAUGGAAUUGUUGCCGUUUCGCUGUUCCGCUUCUGUGUGGUCGCUGCUCUCUAGAUACCUGUCCCACGGGUCCUGCCUGGUCCCCACGGACCUUACCCUCAGCCGGUAUCUUCGCUUCUCUAUUCCCAACGCCUUCGCCUUCCUGGGCUCCUCAAGUUCAUCUGUGGGCUUGUAACUCCUGCUUCCCGGCCCCCUGCAGCCGGCACGGAGCCUCCUCGCCCGCUCCCGGGGCCCUUGGUGCGGGGCCUCCUCGCCUGCUCCUGGGGCCCUCAGUCAGAUGCUCAGGACACUUGUCACACUGCCACUGAGAAGCUGAUGGCCCAGAUUUUGAGCACUUUGAGCGGCUACCGAGUAGUGACCACGUCCUUUCCUGCAUCCUCACAAAAGAGCACCGGGCCUGGGGCUCAGGAGAUAAUGCUUCCUUUCGAAUGAGUGAGGGAAAGACGAGCGGAGACUUGAGUCUCCUGGGACCGGCUGCCCGCAGCCUCUGGGUGGCGGGUCUCCUGGGCUCCCCCUCCUCUGCCCAGGAGGCCGUGGGGACCCCUCCGCCCGUGUCAGCUUGCGAGAGCCAGACCGUGCACUGCCAAGAGUGGAGGCAAGGGGGACCGAGGGAUGAGCCAUCUGAGCGGUGGCUGCGUGGGGGUUUUAAGCCACGGCAGCCGCCACAGCCCAGCCACGGCAGCAGGGACUGGACUAGAGAGCGCGCGGGCGAGGCCGAGACAGGCAGGUCUGCUCUGUGUGCUGGGGGGGCUUUAAGCAGGGUGCACAGUGAGGACCUGACUUCUGCUUUAGAAAGAGCACCUGCCCGCGGAGCAGAGUGUAGACCGCGGUGGGGCCGGUCGGUGUUCGGAAGCCCGAAAGGAAGGCUUGAAGAAUUUCAGGUGG